UGGGGAAUAUUGGGCAAUGGGCGCAAGCCUGACCCAGCAACGCCGCGUGAAGGAAGAAGGCUUUCGGGUUGUAAACUUCUUUUAAGAGGGACGAAAAAAGUGACGGUACCUCUUGAAUAAGCCACGGCUAACUACGUGCCAGCAGCCGCGGUAAUACGUAGGUGGCGAGCGUUAUCCGGAUUUACUGGGUGUAAAGGGCGUGUAGGCGGGACUGCAAGUCAGGCGUGAAAACUGGGGGCUCAACCUCCAGCCUGCGUUUGAAACUGUAGUUCUUGAGUGAUGGAGAGGCAAGCGGAAUUCCGUGUGUAGCGGUGAAAUGCGUAGAUAUACGGAGGAACACCAGUGGCGAAGGCGGCUUGCUGGACAUUAACUGACGCUGAGGCGCGAAAGCGUGGGGAGCAAACAGGAUUAGAUACC
rnacentral:rRNA from 1 species